rnacentral:rRNA from 1 species
AUUGCACGCUGGCGGCAGGCCUAACACAUGCAAGUCGAGCGAGCGGCGGACGGGUGAGUAAUGUCUGGGAAACUGCCUGAUGGAGGGGGGUAACUACUGGAAACGGUAGCUAAUACCGCAUACCAUCAGAUGUGCCCACAUGGGAUUAGCUAGUAGGUGGGGUAAUGGCUCACCUAGGCGACGAUCCCUAGCUGGUCUGAGAGGAUGACCAGCCACACUGGAACUGGUACACGGUCCAGACUCCUCCGGGAGGCAGCAGUGGGAAAUAUUGCACAAUGGGCGCAAGCCGGAUGCAGCCAUGCCGCGUGUAUGAAGAAGGCCUUCGGGUUGUAAAGUACUUUCAGCGAGGAGGCGUUACUCGCAGAAGAAGCACCGGCUAACUCCGUGCCAGCAGCCGCGGUAAUUC